CCUACGGGUGGCAGCAGUGGGGAAUAUUGGACAAUGGGGGCAACCCUGAUCCAGCCAUGCCGCGUGUGUGAAGAAGGCCCUCGGGUUGUAAAGCACUUUCAGUGAGGAAGAACGCCUGGUGGUUAAUACCCAUCAGGAAAGACAUCACUCACGGAAGAAGCACCGGCUAACUCCGUGCCAGCAGCCGCGGUAAUACGGAGGGUGCGAGCGUUAAUCGGAAUUACUGGGCGUAAAGCGCGCGUAGGUGGCUUGAUAAGCCGGUUGUGAAAGCCCCGGGCUCAACCUGGGAACGGCAUCCGGAACUGUCAAGCUAGAGUGCAGGAGAGGAAGGUAGAAUUCCCGGUGUAGCGGUGAAAUGCGUAGAGAUCGGGAGGAAUACCAGUGGCGAAGGCGGCCUUCUGGACUGACACUGACACUGAGGUGCGAAAGCGUGGGUAGCAAACAGGAUUAGAUACCCGUGUAGUC
rnacentral:rRNA from 1 species